CGCGUAGGCGGCUUGGUAAGGGGGCGGUGAAAGCCCGGGGCUCAACCCCGGGUCUGCCGGACCGACUGCCGAGCUUGAGCACACUAGGGGCAGGUGGAAUUCCGGGUGUAGCGGUGGAAUGCGUAGAGAUCCGGAAGAACACCGGUGGCGAAGGCGGCCUGCCGGGGUGUGGCUGACGCUGAGGCGCGACAGCGUGGGGAGGCAAAACA
rnacentral:rRNA from 1 species